rnacentral:rRNA from 1 species
CGUGUAGGCGGCUUCCUAAGUCUGGUGUGAAAUCCCGGGGCUCACCCCCGGAAGUGCACUGGAUACUGGGAAGCUCGAGUACCGGAGAGGAGGGUGGAAUUCCUGGUGUAGCGGUGAAAUGCGUAGAUAUCAGGAGGAACACCUGUGGCGAAGGCGGCCCUCUGGACGGAUACUGACGCUGAGACGCGAAAGCGUGGGGAGCAAACA